rnacentral:rRNA from 1 species
AGUGAACGCUGGCGGUAGGCCUAACACAUGCAAGUCGAACGGCAGCACAGUAAGAGCUUGCUCUUACGGGUGGCGAGUGGCGGACGGGUGAGGAAUACAUCGGAAUCUACUUUUUCGUGGGGGACAACGUAGGGAAACUUACGCUAAUACCGCAUACGACCUACGGGUGAAAGCAGGGGAUCUUCGGACCUUGCGCGAUUGAAUGAGCCGAUGUCGGAUUAGCUAGUUGGCGGGGUAAAGGCCCACCAAGGCGACGAUCCGUAGCUGGUCUGAGAGGAUGAUCAGCCACACUGGAACUGAGACACGGUCCAGACUCCUACGGGAGGCAGCAGUGGGGAAUAUUGGACAAUGGGCGCAAGCCUGAUCUAGCCAUACCGCGUGGGUGAAGAAGGCCUUCGGGUUGUAAAGCCCUUUUGUUGGGAAAGAAAAGCAGCAGGUUAAUACCCCGCUGUUCUGACGGUACCCAAAGAAUAAGCACCGGCUAACUUCGUG